rnacentral:rRNA from 1 species
GGGGAAGCUUAACAUGCAGUCGAGCGAGCUUGCCUAGAUGAUUUUAGUGCUUGCACUAAAUGAAACUAGAUACAAGCGAGCGGCGGACGGGUGAGUAACACGUGGGUAACCUGCCCAAGAGACUGGGAUAACACCUGGAAACAGAUGCUAAUACCGGAUAACAACACUAGACGCAUGUCUAGAGUUUGAAAGAUGGUUCUGCUAUCACUCUUGGAUGGACCUGCGGUGCAUUAGCUAGUUGGUAAGGUAACGGCUUACCAAGGCAAUGACGCAUAGCCGAGUUGAGAGACUGAUCGGCCACAUUGGGACUGAGACACGGCCCAAACUCCUACGGGAGGCAGCAGUAGGGAAUCUUCCACAAUGGACGAAAGUCUGAUGGAGCAACGCCGCGUGAGUGAAGAAGGGUUUCGGCUCGUAAAGCUCUGUUGGUAGUGAAGAAAGAUAGAGGUAGUAACUGGCCUUUAUUUGACGGUAAUUACUUAGAAAGUCACGGCUAACUACGUGCCAGCAGCCGCGGUAAUACGUAGGUGGCAAGCGUUGUCCGGAUUUAUUGGGCGUAAAGCGAGUGCAGGCGGUUCAAUAAGUCUGAUGUGAAAGCCUUCGGCUCAACCGGAGAAUUGCAUCAGAAACUGUUGAACUUGAGUGCAGAAGAGGAGAGUGGAACUCCAUGUGUAGCGGUGGAAUGCGUAGAUAUAUGGAAGAACACCAGUGGCGAAGGCGGCUCUCUGGUCUGCAACUGACGCUGAGGCU